rnacentral:rRNA from 1 species
GACGAACGCUGGCGGCGUGCUUAACACAUGCAAGUCGAACGGAAAGGCCCUGCUCUUGUGGGGUGCUCGAGUGGCGAACGGGUGAGUAACACGUGAGUAACCUGCCCUUGACUUUGGGAUAACUUCAGGAAACUGGGGCUAAUACCGGAUAGGAGCUCCUGCUGCAUGGUGGGGGUUGGAAAGUUUCGGCGGUUGGGGAUGGACUCGCGGCUUAUCAGCUUGUUGGUGGGGUAGGCGCUUACCAAGGCUGUGACGGGUAGCCGGCCUGAGAGGGUGACCGGCCACCUUGGGCCUGCGGUACGGCCCAGACUCCUACGUGCGGCAGCAGUCGGGAGUCUUGCGCAAUGGGCGGAAGCCUGAUGCAGCAACGCCGCGUGCGGGAUGCCGGCCUUCGGGUUGUAAACCGCUUUCGCCUGUGCCGAAGCGUGAGUGACGGUACUGGGUAAAGAAGCCCCGGCUAACUACGUG